AGACCUGAGGAACAGGAAGGCAGACGUCUCAUUGACCAAAUAUAGCAGAUAUCCUCCUUUUCAUGCAGGGUCCUGGGAUUGUGAACCACAUGAGGGCUGCCCUUGACAACAGCCUGGCCUUGAGCUGUCCCUCCCGGCUCUUACCAACCAGCACAACAUGGGGAAGCAGACCAUGAAGUCUGGCAGAGCCAAAAUUAACCAAACAUCUGGACCAACCAGGGAGGGCAAAAUAGCAUUUUUCAAAGACCACCUUGUUCUCCCUUUGCCUUGCCCUUUGGGAAGAUAGGACUGGCCUUUCGGCAGCUAAAUCUCUCCUUGGAGGAUCUUCUAAAAAGGCUUUGAAAAGUCAGAUUCAGAAAAUUCACCCUAUGCCGCUCCACACACACUGGUGAUACUCAAGGCACAUCUGUAGAGCAGGCUUAUCUGAGGUAGCGAGACAAAGAGCGAAGUUGAUUCAGCCUACCAUGCUGUGCAGGAGUGCAGGACUCGAUGGGAGAGAAAUAUUUUCAACAACU